GUCAGACACUGAAGACAGGGUGGAGUUACACAGCCAUUGUGGCAACGAGAGAACACAUCAUUGUUAUAAGACAGAACAUGACAGGUCUGAGGGCCGAUCUGUCCAGCCAGGAUGCCUCGGAGUAAAUGUGUUAGGAUUUGCCUUUUGUGGCAUCAUAGCACUCAUGACUCAGCCUGCAGAACAAUGUGACAGGAGGGCAUGCUUCAGUUCUAAGGAAAUAGCCACACAAUGGUGCCCAUGAGGGAUCAGAGCUAGAAGAAUCUUUGGGUCCUACGCAAAGAAAUGAUGGUCAGAGAGACACAAGCUUGGUUGUGGAAACCUCAGGAAAUUCUAAGCCUAUUUCUUCCAUCAAAAUGAAAGGAACUCAUUGAUGAAAUCGUGAGUCCAUUAAGAUUGAGUGGUACAUCUCCCUUAAGCCAUGAUUUGCAUCAUAAAACAGAUUAAAAUGAAAAAUGGAAGCACUCUCUUGGAGAGGAAAUGUACAGAAGAAUCUUUGAAGGCUCUCUGAAUGAAGACGGAAUAACACUCCACCAAGCACCGAGAAAACAAGGGACAGAGAAAGGUACUGACUGAGCAAAGCAAGACUGAAGCCCUCAGUCAGAUAAGUGAUGUGACUCAGAGCUCAGUGUGGGGCAGACAGCUGAAGCCAGAGAACAUUCAGAGCCGUAGGUAAACACUUACAUUAAGUAUCCUGAUGGAGCAAGGGCUUCCACUGUAGUGUGGCUGCAGUGGCCUGCGCUGAAGUACAUAUGGGUCAUUAUCUCUACAUUAAUGGGAUUUGGAGAACUACCCUCUCACCUCGCUAAAAGCCUGGGCUUACAUGUGGCUCUGAGUGUAUGAAAAUAUUGUUCAUCUCAACCUUUCUCAAAAAGUCUGAGAAAACAGUCCUGUGACGAGAACUAUACUGUAUAGAUCUCAAGAAUCUAGAUUGCUAAUUCUGAAUUAGCAAUGCAUGAAGUUCUCCAGAGUUCUGGGAGAGUGUUGGGGAAACAUCUCUUGCUUAUCAGGUUGCUUUUGUUUCUUGUACAUUAUUUACUUAGACAAGCAUAAAGACCUUUGGCCAAAAAGAAAGACUGGCUUAAAGGACUGGAAUGUCUGGGGGAAUUAGCUGUUUGAUGGAAACAUGACAGAUAAAUGAGCAAGAGAAUGAUUGACAGUCAAAUUCCCCUGGAGGAAUCACUGCACUGGUGUAUGAGAGGCAGUUUGUCCCAGCUCACAGGAACCUGUGGUACCAACUCUUCAAAAUUCCCCAUUCAAUGACUUCAUAGGAGGGAGUGUUUACACUGUCAAAUCUGGCAGCUGUCCCAAAUCGGGGCUUUUCUUUUUACUGUUCUCAGCUUGUUGCACCCACCACUAGAAAGUAUAUUAUUAAAUAUUUAUCGGUAUUCUCCUGGAGUUUAAUCGAAAGAUAAUUUGUCCAGCAAAGCAGCCACAGCCCUCUGAAGCUCCAACUGAUGGUUCUCUGAGCACAGGAAUUAGUCAAAUCAGUGACUAUGGGGAACUCUGUGGAAUUCGGAAAAAGGGAAAAAAUUCUUGGAAAACAUACCUGUGUGAUGUACUCACCAGUGAGCUACCCGAGAGUCAAUAUUCAUAGAGCUUCAUGGUCAGUGGCACUCAGAAGUGGUAUGGGACCUUUAGGAACAUGACCACAUGAUAGAAAGUACUUAGACAUGAUGUGGGUCUUGUUCUCAUUUGACCAGGGACAUCAGAUAAAGGAUGAGAUCCAGAAAGCUGUGUCUCAGAAGGACUAAUUUACAGGGCAUUUUGAUAGUUAACUAGUUAAGCUCUACUGCCAGUAGAGCUCAGACAAAAGACACUUGAGCUCUAGGAUGCACUGUGAGCACUUGCACUGAGGGUCUCUGAACCCCAUGUGGGGUAGCAGUGAUGUGGCAGAAAUUCCUUCUCAGACGUGCUGAAUGGACAUGUUCCAGCUGUGAUGUCUGAGGCUGUUUCUGAGAAACACAAAGAUUGGAAGUCUCAUCUGCCUACCUUCUAGCUUCCAGGAUUCUUCUGAAAAGACAUAUUGUUAAUAACAAUGUGACCUUUGACUGGAAGGUAGGAGAGAAGAAGCUGUGAGACACAGAUUAAGGAGUAUAAAUCAGUAUACACUAUGGAUACCACUAUGGAGGCUUUUCAACAAACUAAAAAUAGAACUACCAUGUGACCCAACUACUCCACAUCUAGGUUAUUUGCCUUAAGGACUGUAAGUCAACAUACCACAAAUAUAUUUGCAUAUCCCUGUAUACUAUUGUGUUGUUCAGAAUAGCCAAGUGCUGGAAGCAUGCUUGGCAUCCAUCCGCAGAUGAGCAGAUUAAAAUUGUGGCAUAUGUACAUGAUGAAGCCUUAGUCACGAUAUACAACAGAAUUAUGUCAUCUGUUGGAAAGUGUAUGCAACUGGAGAUUGCUGUCUGAAGUGAAAUAAGUCAGGGAGACAAAUGUCACGUUGUUACUCAUUUGCAAAUCCCUGAAUACACAUAAAUACAAAAAGCCAUAUAUAUGAAAGCAAAGGAAGAGCUGGAGAAGGAAGGGCAUGAGUAGAAUGGGGAAUCAGAAACAGAGUGAAGGGUUUGGGGGAGUGAAUAUGGUCACAGUACUUGAGAUACAGGAAAGAAACUAUUUUUAUGACAUCAUCACUAUCUAUAAUGAAUAUAGACUAAGGAAAGAACUGGCUUGGAAGGACAACAGAAGGCAGAGGAAGUAAAAUAUUUUAUUCCACUUUGAGGGAGAAGUUGAUUUGUUUGAAGGAGUCUGGGACAACCCUGCCUUCGUCUGAUAACGCCCUCUCUCUAAGCCUCUAAGCCAUAUGUGUUUAAGAUGUCGAGGAUCAGCUCAGGGGCUCAGCACACAGCUCUGUGGAGCAGUGGACUGUGCUUUCUGUUUUAAGUGGCCGCCUGGCAAUGGUACGUCCUUGUCAUAGUGCAGCCAAGUAUGAGAGUGCAUUGACAAUGCUAGUCCUUCCCAGGCCUGAGACUCAAGCUCAAAGAAUGUCUUCUCGGAGAAGGCCAAGUGGGGCAGUGCUUUGUAGAGGGCAGCAUGCUCAACUGAAGACUUAAUCUGGAAGUCAAUUCGCUUCUGAGGAGGCACUACUUACGUGCAUGUUUAAAUAUUUUGAGUCUAUGGGGGCUGCUUCAAGAGGUGAUUUCAAGUCUGUGAAAGGAACACAAUAGGAACACUGACAGACUAGAACUACUGGCUUUCACAGGUGGGCACAUACCUGCCAACCUCUGCUGGUCUGGCCUCAACCUCUGGAUCCUGAAUCAUGGAAGCCCUCGAGGGUCCCUCAGCUGAUUCCAGAGUCACCGAGAAGCAGGAGUCCACCAUCAGUCAAGAAAUAGUGUCGUGGUUGGACAGCUAGACAAACAACACCUGUGCUCCUGAUAUGGAACCUGGGCCUUAUUGGACCACACAGGACAAAGGAAACAGGCAGGUGCUAGCACAGAGUCUGAGUUUGUUUAUGUAGUUGGUGGGCAAAAGCCUGUCCUCAGACCUUGGAGCUGAAGAAUAGGGUCUGGGGUUUAUACUUCUCUAAUACAUGUUAGGUAACAAAUGGAUUGUAAAACCUCAUCUCUCUUUUUGUCCUUUUUAUUUUUAAAAAGCACCCUUUGAUGUCACUCUGGUGACGUCUGCUGUCAUCCCCAAACCUGCUACGACAUGGGUGCCUCAGUCGUCAGCCUGAUUCACAGUACACUCCAUGUUUAGCAGCUCUCUGAGAAGGAUUCCAGGCUGCUUUUAGCCCUAAAUAGUUACAAAUACCGGAGUAGCAGCAGCAGCCCUUCAAAAAGCCUUUUUAGGAAGUGUCAUACCAGGGCUGGGAUGAGCCACAGGGAGCCACAGGUAAGAAGAGCUCCAGGCAAAUGGGAAGGCAGGGGAGGAAUUGAUGAAAGGCCCCAAGUUGUGUGCCGUGGAGCAGCCUCCCCCUUCCUUGAGAGAGUUGUACGGAAACAUUUCAACAUGUUUAUCUGUCUGCCCAACCCUAUUUAGUGAAAAAUGAUUGCUCUUUGCUUCUUGUUACCAUGCUCAAAUGAUACUAUGGCAACCGGGCUGCAUAAAAGGGGAAGGGGGGGGGGGCAGGUGCUGCUUAGCAACUUGAAGAUUUUUUUAAAAGGGAAGUACUCAUUUUAACAGUAACAGUUUUUAAAAUGCCAGUUUUGAGGAGUUAAAAAAAAAAAAGAAUAUUAGAGACAGCAAAUGGGAAUGACGGCAAAGGGACUGAAUAAGGGAGGUGGUGGCGCUUCUUCCAGAGCUGUUAGGCACAUCAUCAUGGCGGCUGUGGGAGCACAGCUGGGUCUGUUUAUGGGUAAGGAAACAGGUUCACACAGGUGAGUGAUGCCACCAGGGCUGGUGAGCCAGUGUGUGUGUGUUGUGGGGAGGGAGGGCAAGCCUGGGCUAACAGGUAGGCAGCCUGAUUUCAAGUGGAAUUCUUUUUAUAGAAUCUCAUUAAGUAGCAAAAUGUCACCUGGAAAUCAGAGGGGAAAAGAAGAAAUGAAUCAGUGUAGACUGACAAGGAGGUGAUAAAAGUUGACCAUCUGUUCCUCAGGUAGAAACCCAGAAAGAGAAAAAAAAUCUUUGAAUGUACUUCCAGGGUAAAGUUCAAGUGCUCUCUACAGGAUUCAUUUGUUCAUUCAUGGGAGAGAAACAAGAGGGGACGAUCAGAGCAGACAGGCUGGAGUCCAGUGUCUCACAGGCCGGAGGUGUCUGGUUUUGGAACACUUGGAAUUUGGAGGAAUUUCUGAGCAGUGAGAAAACCAGAAAUGGGUGGGAAGUGGUUGAGUAUGGGAAGGACCACUGCCAUUCCCUGACAUGGAUGGAAACCGAGUAGGAAAACAGAUUUGUCAAGAUAGAUGAGUCCAUCCAUUCAACCAAGACCACGUGAAGCGAAGACCGCUAAAGUCCCUCUCCCCUGCUCCUCACUGGCUACUGUCCUUUCCUGGCUGUUCUGCUGUUCCAGCCCUCUGUCUUCAGAAACAGAAUGGUCUGUGAUGCAAACACUGCCCAUACCUGGAGUGAUGGUGGUGUUGACCUUUACUGGGAUGUUCAACAGCAAACAAGCAUAACACUAAGAAAACACACUGUCAGAUUGAAGAAUGUUCUCUGAGGCACGCGACACAAUGGGUUACUGUCUAUUACACACUUUUCUAAUUAACACCACUUAAGAGAUGCCAUUCAAGGCAGACCCUAGGUCUGAAUCAGACUAGACUGAAGGAUCAGAGUUUUUAUCUACUUGAGACUCUGCAGGGGAGGCAGGGGAGGAGUGAGUGGGGGAGACAAGGCCAGCUGGCUGAGUUUGCAGCUCCUCAGUCAUCCUGUCACUCUCCAAUCCACAACACCACAGAGAGCCUGCUAGGUCCCAGCCACUGAGUGGCCAUCUCAUUCUUCUCUUCCUGGUGCCCCAGGCAUAGGGAGGAUCCCAAGGACUGCAGGGCUCAGGCUGCCUGGUCCUGGAGCCUGCAUCCCAGGGGAGGCCACUGCUGCCUUCCUAGUUAAUAACACGGUGCUCACAAGACAAGUGCUGCUUUAGAAGUCCAGUGAUCACACACAUGUGAUCUUCUCAUCGUUUCCACUCAAUGCUAAUUGUACCCGUGUGAUGGGAAACAGUAAACAGCCAGCCUCCCUCAGUGCUCGACUUGACUCAAAGGGUCUCAUAACAGCGGAGUCCACCCAGCACUCCCUUUCAAGAGCCGGUAUUUGUGAGGUAUGGGUGGAGGAGUCUCUGUUCUUCUUACUGCCAACAUGAUGAAUAAGAAAUGAGUGACUGUCUGGGUCCUCCUUUGAAUUUUGCUCUCUCAUCUGCUUGUCCGUUAUCCCUAUUCUCAUCCUCAUAUCGUGCUCUAACCCCACUGGGUCCCUCAGGACCUUCAGAUGCACUUCCCUUCUCCAUUCACACUACCCUCGGAUUGUGAUGAGCACUUACUACCUCAGGUGCAAACCGCAUCACUCUGGGCCUCUGCUGUUGUUCAUAGCCAUGAAUACUGUUUGUAGUAGCUAAACAUUUUACAGUGCGCACACACACACACACACACACACACACACGGUGGGGGGGGGGAGAGUCACUACCCAGUAGUUUUAAUAACCACAUUUGUGGUGGUAUUGUGUUCCCCAAAAUAUUGUGCAUGCUAAUAAACUUAUCUGGGGUCAGAGAAGAGAACAGCCACAAUAUUAAACAUAGAGGAUAGGCAAUGGUAGCACACGCCUUUAACCCUAGCAUUCCAGAGGCAGAAAUCCCUCUGGAUCUCUGUGUGUUCAAGGCCACAUUGGAAACAGCCAGGCAUGGUGACUCACGCCUUUAAUCCCAGGGAGUGAUGGCAGAAAGCAGAAAGGUAUAUAAGGCAUGAGGACCAGGAACUAGAAGCUUUUAGCUGGUUAAACUUUCAGGCUUUGGAGCAGCAGUUCAGCUGAGAUUCAUUCUGGUUGGGGACUCAAAGGUUUCCAGUCUGAGGAAACAGGAUCAGCUGAGGAACUGGUGAGAUAGGCUUGUUCUGCUUCUCUGAUCUUCCAGCAUUCACCCCAAUAACUGGCCCUGGGUUUGUUUUUAUUAAUAAGGCCCUUUAAGUUUCCUGCUACACACAUUCCUAUCUUUAAGUAAUAAGAAUCAGAGGCAAGAAGUAUUUAGUUGCAACAUUCCAGUUUGAAUUUAUCUGGUAACUAGUAAGAAGCCAGCUCAUUUUGAGAUAUGAUUCCAGCCCACAAUUCCCUGCUCUUUAGAGGAAGUGGGGACUCUCCUCUCUGGAAUCGUAUACAUUGAACUUAUGCCUGCCCUUCAGAACAAGGUCAAACAAACACAUUCACAUUUUUUCACAUAUUGCCCUUCCAAAUACUGGCAGGCAAUCCUGGGUGCCCUCCCAGGCUGCUUCCUGCUGCAGGCCGCAGCAAUAUAUCAUAAGAACUCAGGUGGUUAUGGCAAAUCCACUACCUGGAGGGAGUUCCUCCAGAGGAAGCCAAAUUUCAAGAAGCUUUUGGUGUUAUUUGGCUUGUUAUAUAUCAGCUGUAUUCUGGUAUGAAAAUCAUGUGUGCCUUCAUAGUUUUCCCAGUUGAUUUUUCCCUAAGAAGGGCUAACAGUGUAGACUGAUCACUCUCUGGACACACACAUUCCAGGUAUUUGGAGAACUGCCUCAGGAAAGGCUUUCUCUGGAAUCAGAUAUCUCCCUUAGCCACUUUCAAGGACUAGCAGUAAUAACAGUCCACAUGCAAGUCUCCUGAUUUAAGGUAAAUUCUACAAGGAGACACCGCCUAGGUCAGGUGGAAGGUAAAUAAUAGCUUUACACAAUUUAGCUCGGACCCUCCUUUCUUACAGCCUUACUAACUUUAUAGACCUUUAACUCCUUACCUAGCCACUUCUAGGAAUAUUUAGACAACUUUCUGUGCUGACAGCUAUGCUCAGCCAGAACUCCAGUUCAAGCCUCCCUGUAAUUAUCAUCAUUGGCAGCAUCUGGUCAGGUCCAUCCCAAGAUGGAGGAAAGUACUUUGCUGUGGGAUGUUCUGUAUGGCAAAUGUGUUGCUAAUUAGUCAAUAAAUAAAACACUGAUUGGCCAUUGGCUAGGCAGGAAGUGUAGGUGGGACAAGGAGGAGAAUAAAGCUGGCAAGUGGAAGGCUGAGUCAGAGAGACACUGCCAGCUGCCAUGAUGAGAAACAGCAUGUGAAGAUGCCGGUAAGCCACAAGCCAUGUGGCAAGGUAUAGAUUAAUGGAAAUGGAUUAAUUUAAGCUGUAAGAACAGUAAGAACAGUUAGCAAGAAGCCUGCCACGGCCAUACAGUUUGUAACCAAUAUAAGUCUCUGUGUUUACUUGGUCGGGUCUGAGAGGCUGUGGGACUGGCAGGUGAGAGAGAUUUGUCCUGACUGUGGGCCAGGCAGGAAAACUCUAGCUACAGUACCUUAUCAGAGACACCUCUGUACUCUCUAAGAACAGACCUAAGCACCCAGGCUACCUGUUUGAGAAGGCCUGGCGGAUAUGCCAAUUAAGUUUUACUUCCUCCUUUCCCAAACCUUACAUCUGGUUCCAGAUCUCCCUUCAACUAUCACCAGAGGCAUCUAGCUGUACACAGGUUGCCUAGUGACCGAGCACACUUUCCCCCACCCUGCAGAAAAACGGCAGAUAGCUUGGACAGAUAGGAGCCACAGGGGGAAAAAAAAAAGGCAGUUUUAUUUUCUCCCAUUGACCUAGCAACUUAUAGAUUCUUAACAUUUUCUAACAAUCACGUUUAAAAUUAUAGUUGAGCACAUAAGAGCCCUCUUCUUAAAUAUUACCUGAAUUUAGCCUUUAGUUAACUCAUUCCCCCAUUGGUCACUUCCCUUUGGGGUUGCAAAUGAUAAUUAACGGUUAUUGCCUCCCUAUGUGAUUCUUAUCACCCCUCCAUUUGACCCUGGAAGCCUGGCUUUGCACUGCUAAGGGAAUACUGCCUGUAAGUGUAUAUAUACCAGGACUUCCAGGGCACAUAGGGGUCAGAGAAGAGAAAAGAGAAUGGAAGAAAUAGAUGGGUAAGAACUUGAGAGGAACAAACUGAGAUGGGGAAGAACUAGAAUGAAGGACUAGAAGAGAGGACUAGAGGAACGAGAUGGAAGAUGAGGAAGAGACAGAUGGGGAAGAACAAGAUGAGAGAGAAGGAGAUGGGAGAGGAGAUGAUAUGGGAAAGAACUAGAUGGAUGAAAACCUAGAAGGGGCAGAACUGGAUGAAGGAAUUAAGAUAGAACUUAGAGGGGACAACAGAUAAAUGUAUAGAGAAACUGGGCAAGAAAGGAGCUUAAAAUGAGAGCAGAGUAUAAGCUUGUAGAGAGAACUGACAGAAUAGUAAAGUGUAUGGACUAAGGAAUUUCGUGUACAUAGAUUCAUUUCUUUUCUUCAAAGAUUAAUUAUUACCUGGUUGUAGAUUCUUCCCGGACCCUAGGAGGGGACUGUAAAAGGGCUGGACCCCCAUAGUCCCCAAUAGUUUCCCAAAUUUUCAAGUACACAGAAACCGUCUGGAGAGUCCGUGGAACUGCAGGCUGUGGGUACAGCCAUUCUGGGGUGCAGCCGUUCUGGGGUGAAGAUCAAACACUCCGCACCUGUUCCUGGAUCAGUCGCUCAAAGGAAAACUAAAUUGUGUAUUGUCUUUCAGAUCAAGAAGUCUUCCCUUCAGUUUCCGAAUCUCUAGUAUUUAUAAAAGUGCUGCAGCUACCACAGGCGUUUGCUAAAUCGUGUCCAAUGUGUCUGUACCAACGGGUGGAAAAAAACCAGUAACUUGAACUGUUUAAGGGGGCGGGAUCAGGAUCCGUCCCUGGUGCAUGAGCCAGCUUUUUGGAGCCCAGUGCCUAUGGUGGGACACCGUGCACAGCCUUGGUACUGAAUGUACCAGGCUCUGCUGAC